UAUAGAAGCCAACAUUGAAAAGGGAGAAGUUGCCGAAGGUCAAACCACUGAUCCAUUCGUUCUGUACCAAUCCUGCGCUGAGCACCUGAAAGUGCUGAGGCCCAAUAAUGAGGGCAGAACACUUGGCUUCAGAGAGUACACAGCAUCUGGCAGAGAAAGAAAUAUACCACAAAUGGGGCGUUUCGGAGGUUAAGGAAAAUUCCCUCUCCCCGCACACUGGGGGCACUGAAGAAAUGAAGAACACGAUGCAUCCACUCUGAAGCAGAGAUUCAGAAAAAAGCUAAAGGAGUUGACUUGCUUGAGUGUAUGCCCCUGGGAGGAAGGUGUGUAAGGUUAUGUAAGAUGGAACCAAUUUUAUCCCGUGUGAUGCUAGGAAAAGAAUGGAAAGCCACACCACAGAGGGGUCUAAAUUGAGCGCAUUGCGGUCAGUGUUCAGCCUGAGCUGAGAAAAGAAACCAGGCUCCCCAUGGGGAGGCAGGAACUUUCUCAGUGAUUUUUGAAGUCCAUGUAAAUAAAUAAAUAGCUAACAUUUAUUGAGCACUUGUUAUGUGAGCACUCUUCUAAGAGAUUUGUGUGCAUUGAUUUAUUUUCAUCACAGAACUUGACAGGUG
rnacentral:lncRNA from 1 species